CCUACGGGAGGCAGCAGUGAGGAAUAUUGGUCAAUGGCCGGAAGGCUGAACCAGCCAUGCCGCGUGAAGGUCAGUGCCCUAUGGGCGUUAAACUUCUUUUGUGCGGGAGCAAUAAUGGUCACGUGUGGCCAGACGAGAGUACCGUACGAAUAAGCAUCGGCUAACUCCGUGCCAGCAGCCGCGGUAAUACGGGGGAUGCAAGCGUUAUCCGGAUUUAUUGGGUUUAAAGGGUGCGUAGGCUGUGAGGUAAGUCAGCGGUGAAAUGCCCCCGCUCAACGGGGUGAAGUGCCAUUGAUACUGCCUGGCUGGAAGGCGGAUGCCGUGGGAGGAAUGUGUGGUGUAGCGGUGAAAUGCAUAGAUAUCACACAGAACACCGAUUGCGAAGGCAUCUCACGAAUCCGCGAUUGACGCUGAUGCACGAAAGCGUGGGUAUCAAACAGGAUUAGAUACCCGAGUAGUC
rnacentral:rRNA from 1 species